CCCAGCUUUAGAAAGAUUCGGGUUCUGAUCUUUAACGGCCAAUUUCAAGCCUUUAAAUUGAGGCGGAAGCUUCAGAUCUUGAAACCCUUUCAUCGCUUGUAGCUGCUGAAGCUGUGACGGUUGCAACCCCUGCACAUGUCCCCCUUUAGCUUCUUGAUUAGUACGGCGGCAUCUACAUUUCCGGUCACUGUGACCUUCCCCUGUUCUGCAUCUAUCUCGGUUGUAAAAACCCCUAAAAACCAACAUGGGAAAAGAAAAACCAAAACAAAACAAACCCCAGAAAUUAAAAAUAAGCAAACCCCAUCACACUCGAAACACUUUAUAAAGAAGUAAAAACAGUCAAAAUCAGGUGAAAGGAAAAAACAGAACAAACAAGGAUUACACUCAAACAAAGGAAAUAGAAAGAAUACCAUCGAUUUUCUGCAAGAUUUUCUUCACCUUGUGCUUGCAUCCAUCACAAUGAAUGUUCACCUUCAAGACACAUUUCUGCAUUCAACACCCAAAAAGGAAAAGAAAAAUCAACAAAUAGUAGAGACUAACAUUAGAAAAAAACAGAACAAAAAGACAGAAAAAGGGAAAAAACACAAAGUAAGUAGAGUAAACAAAGCACCUGGAUCUUCAAAAACUCUUCUUUACUCAUAGCUUGAAGUCAAACAAACAGUACGAGUGAGAAAGAGAGAGAAAAACAAAGGAAGAAAAAAAAAAAAAAAGGAGAUGAGAGGAGAAUAGAUCUAGGAAAUGAAACAGAGGAGAGAGUAAUGGGUUGUUAGUAGUAGUUGUUUGUUUUUUGGUUAGUGAUUAUGUUGGAACUCAACGAAGCAAAUCCAGAGAGAAAGUAGGAAUCUGAGAACAGAGAAAGAAACGAAGACCAAAGUUGAGAGAGAAACAGAGAGAUGGGAAGGGAUAGGUUGUGUUAAAAGGGUUUCUGUGUUCAACUCGUUCCUCUUUUUCAGGGUGAAACAAAGAAGAAAGAGAAACCUAAAAAAAAAAGAAAAAAAAAAAAAAAGGAAAUGUUAAAACAAAAGCAAAAACGAAGCAAAUGGGGGCAGAGGAGAAAGUGAAAAACGCUGCUGGCUGCACCAAAACGUAGAAACAGAGUACUCUUUAUUUUUGAACAAACCCCAUACUUUUCUUUCUUUUUUCUUUUUUCUUUUAAUUCAUCUCUCUAUUGGUUGCAUUUUGCAGAGAUUUCGAAAACCCUCCGAAUUUUUUUUUUAAAAUUAAUUAUUUGACUUGAGCCGAGCCGAGACAAGCCGACUUGAGAAUUGGGUUUUUUUUUUUGGCUCGGCUUGACGCGCUGGUGAGGGAAGAAACGGUGUCGUUCUGUGUGAAUGAUGAGGUCCCGACAAGACUGAUUUAUGGGUAAAGCUAAAUAGAUGUCUUUCCCCUGUUCUCUAUUCCAUGUGCUAAUUAUUAUAACAAAUCGUGUACAACGUAUGUAUAUCUUUUGAGUUAUGACGUUUGUUUGAGAAACAAAAUUGAAAGUUAAACCUCUCAUUUGUGUUUUGAAAA